GCCUGGAUAGCUCAGCUGGUUACAGUGUGGUACUGAUGACACCAAGGUUGCAGGUUCAAUCCAGCUCCAUAUUCCUGCAUUGCCAGGGG